ACUCCUACGGGAGGCAGCAGUGGGGAAUAUUGCACAAUGGGGGAAACCCGUAGCAUGCAGCCAUGCCGCGUGUGUGAAGAAGGCCUUCGGGUUGUAAAGCACUUUCAGUAGGGAGGAAGGUAGUGUAGUUAACACCUGCAUUAUUUGACGUUACCUACAGAAGAAGCACCGGCUAACUCCGUGCCAGCAGCCGCGGUAAUACGGAGGGUGCGAGCGUUAUCCGGAUUUAUUGGGUUUAAAGGGUCCGUAGGCGGGUUAAUAAGUCAGUGGUGAAAUCCCAUCGCUUAACGAUGGAACUGCCAUUGAUACUGUUAGUCUUGAAUGAGGGUGCAGUGGUUGGAAUGUGUAGUGUAGCGGUGAAAUGCAUAGAUAUUACACAGAACACCGAUUGCGAAGGCAGAUCACUAACCCUAAAUUGACGCUGAGGGACGAAAGCGUGGGGAGCGAACAGGAUUAGAUACCCUGUAGACUGUC
rnacentral:rRNA from 1 species